UAGAAUUCCACGUGUAGCGGUGAAAUGCGUAGAGAUGUGGAGGAAUACCGGUGGCGAAGGCGGCCUUCUGGACAGAUACUGACGCUGAGAUGCGAAAGCGUGGGGAGCAAACAGGAUUAGAUACCCUGGUAGUCCACGCUGUAAACGAUGUCGAUUUGGAGUUUGUUGCCCUGAGUGAUGGGCUCCGAAGCUAACGCGAUAAAUCGACCGCCUGGGGAGUACGGCCGCAAGGUUAAAACUCAAAUGAAUUGACGGGGGCCCGCACAAGCGGUGGAGCAUGUGGUUUAAUUCGAUGCAACGCGAAGAACCUUACCUGGUCUUGACAUCCACAGAAUCUUGCAGAGAUGCGAGAGUGCCUUCGGGAACUGUGAGACAGGUGCUGCAUGGCUGUCGUCAGCUCGUGUUGUGAAAUGUUGGGUUAAGUCCCGCAACGAGCGCAACCCUUAUCCUUUGUUGCCAGCGAUUCGGUCGGGAACUCAAAGGAGACUGCCGUUGAUAAAGCGGAGGAAGGUGGGGACGACGUCAAGUCAUCAUGGCCCUUACGACCAGGGCUACACACGUGCUACAAUGGCGUAUACAAAGGGAGGCGACCUCGCGAGAGCAAGCGGACCUCAUAAAGUACGUCUAAGUCCGGAUUGGAGUCUGCAACUCGACUCCAUGAAGUCGGAAUCGCUAGUAAUCGUGAAUCAGAAUGU
rnacentral:rRNA from 1 species